AUUGAACGCUGGCGGCAGGCCUAACACAUGCAAGUCGAACGAGUGGCGGACGGGUGAGUAAUGUCUGGGAAACUGCCCGAUGGAGGGGGAUAACUACUGGAAACGGUAGCUAAUACCGCAUACCAUCGGAUGUGCCCCGAUGGGAUUAGCUUGUGGGUGAGGUAACGGCUAACCUAGGCGACGAUCCCUAGUUGGUCUGAGAGGAUGAACAGCAAAAUGGGAACUGAGACACGGGCCAGACGCCUGAGGGAGGCAGCAGUGGGGAAUAUUGCACAAUGGGCGCAAGCCGGAUGUAGCCAUGCCGCGUGGAUGAAGAAGGCCGUCGGGUUGUAAAUUACUUUCAGCGUGGAGGCGUUACCCGAAGAAGAAGCACCGGCUAACGCCGUGCCAGCAGCCGCGGUAAUUC
rnacentral:rRNA from 1 species